rnacentral:rRNA from 1 species
AGAAUCAACGCUGGCGGCGUGCCUAACACAUGCAAGUCGAACGAGAAAGUGGUAGCAAUACCAUGAGUAAAGUGGCGCACGGGUGAGUAACACGUGACUAACCUACCCUGGAGUGGGGGAUAACUGAGGGAAACCUUAGCUAAUACCGCAUAAUACCUACGGGUCAAAGGAGCAAUUCGCUUCAGGAGGGGGUCGCGGCAGAUUAGCUAGUUGGCGGGGUAAUGGCCCACCAAGGCAGUGAUCUGUAUCCGGCCUGAGAGGGCGCACGGACACACUGGAACUGAAACACGGUCCAGACUCCUACGGGAGGCAGCAGUGGGGAAUUUUGCGCAAUGGGGGAAACCCUGACGCAGCAACGCCGCGUGGAGGAUGAAGUCCCUCGGGACGUAAACUCCUUUCGAUCGGGACGAUAAUGACGGUACCGAGAGAAGAAGCCCCGGCUAACUUCGUGCCAGCAGCCGC